AAAAUUCUAAUAAAUAUCUUUUUUUUAAAAAACAAAAACAGAAAAGAAAUAUAUGAAAAAAGAUAUGGCCUACAGCUGCAGCAAACUACUACAGAGAACGGUCUGCUAUUGCUAAUGCAGCAAUGAAGAAGUAGCUAAACACCACCCACAACUCUAAGAUGCUUCUGGAAGAUACAGGAUUUCUACGCAGAGGGAAUUCCACAAUUACCCACUACGACAUGUUCUUAUUAUUCAGACAAGCAAUACGGAGAGCAGUCAAUAAAGUGGUGUCAACUGAUUUUA